rnacentral:rRNA from 1 species
ACGGGAGGCAGCAGUGGGGAAUAUUGGGCAAUGGGGGCAACCCUGACCCAGCAACGCCGCGUGAAGGAAGAAGGCUUUCGGGUUGUAAACUUCUUUUAUCAGGGACGAUAGUGACGGUACCUGAUGAAUAAGCCACGGCUAACUACGUGCCAGCAGCCGCGGUAAUACGUAGGUGGCAAGCGUUAUCCGGAUUUACUGGGUGUAAAGGGCGCGUAGGCGGGGAAGCAAGUCAGAUGUGAAAUCUAUGGGCUUAACUCAUAAACUGCAUUUGAAACUGUUUCCCUUGAGUGCUGGAGAGGUAGAUGGAAUUCCUAGUGUAGCGGUGAAAUGCGUAGAUAUUAGGAAGAACACCAGUGGCGAAGGCGAUCUACUGGACAGUAACUGACGCUGAGGCGCGAAAGCGUGGGGAGCAAACAGGAUUAGAUACCCUGGUA